UGGCUCAGUUGGUAGAGAAUGGUGCUGGCAACACCAGGGUUGUGGGUUCAAUUCCCAC
rnacentral:tRNA from 1 species